rnacentral:rRNA from 1 species
ACCUACGGGGCGCAGCAGUAGGGAAUCUUCCACAAUGGGCGAAAGCCUGAUGGAGCAACGCCGCGUGGGUGGAGAAGGUCUUCGGAUCGUAAAACCCUGUUGUUAGAGAAGAAAGUGCGUGAGAGUAACUGUUCACGUUUCGACGGUAUCUAACCAGAAAGCCAUGGCUAACUACGUGCCAGCAGCCGCGGUAAUACGUAGGUGGCAAGCGUUAUCCGGAUUUAUUGGGCGUAAAGGGAGCGCAGGCGGUCUUUUAAGUCUGAUGUGAAAGCCUUCGGCUUAACCGGAGUAGUGCAUUGGAAACU